CAUUUAUUAGAUAAAAAGCCAAUGCAUGCUUUUACAGUAUGAAAAUUGGUGAUUUAUAAUAACUUAGCAAAUCGCAAAGUGAAAACAGGCGAUAAAUCAUUCAAGUUUCUGACCUAUCAGCUUUCGACGGUAUGGUAUUGGCUUACCGUGGCAGUGACGGUUAACGGGGGAUUAGGGUUCGAUUCCGGAGAGGGAGCCUGAGAAACGGCUACCACAUCUAAGGAAGGCAGCAGGCGCGCAAAUUACCCAAUUCUAACAGUUUGAGAGAGGUAGUAACAAGAAAUAACAAUACAAGGCAGUUAAAAUGCUUUGUAAUUGGAAUGAUAGAAAUUUAAACCCUUUUUAAAGUAUCAAUUGGAGGGCAAGUCUGGUGCCAGCAGCCGCGGUAAUUCCAGCUCCAAUAGCGUAUAUUAAAAUUGUUGCAGUUAAAAAGCUCGUAGUUGAAGUUCUGCUAAAAGUAACCGGUCUGCUUUUAAUAAAGGUGGUAUCUUGGUGUGUAUUUAGCAAUGAUGUCCUUUGAAGUGUUUUUUACUUUAUUGUAAUAAAGCAUAUUCAGGACUUUUACUUGAGAAAAUUAGAGUG
rnacentral:rRNA from 1 species